AAUGAACGCUAGCGGCAGGCUUAGUACAUGCAAGUCGAGGGACAGCACAGGUAGCAAUACUGGGUGGUAACCGGCAAACGGGUGCGGAACACGUACACAACCUUCCUUUAAGUGGGGGAUAGCCCAGAGAAAUUUGGAUUAAUACCCCGUAAUAUAGUUGAAUGGCAUCAUUUGAUUAUUAUAGCUACGGCGCUUAAUGAUGGGUGUGCGGCUGAUUAGAUAGUUGGCGGGGUAACGGCCCACCAAGUCUACGAUCAGUAGCUGAUGUGAGAGCAUGAUCAGCCACACGGGCACUGAGACACGGGCCCGACUCCUACGGGAGGCAGCAGUAAGGAAUAUUGGUCAAUGGACGCAAGUCUGAACCAGCCAUGCCGCGUGAAGGAUUAAGGUCCUCUGGAUUGUAAACUUCUUUUAUUUGGGACGAAAAAGGGCCUUUCUAGGUCAACUGACGGUACCAGAUGAAUAAGCACCGGCUAACUCCGUGCCAGCCGCCGCCGUAAUAC
rnacentral:rRNA from 1 species